UACGAAGGGGGGCUAGCGUUGCUCGGAAUCACUGGGCGUAAAGCGCACGUAGGCGGAUCUUUAAGUCAGAGGUGAAAUCCCAAGGCUCAACCUUUGAAAGCCGAUGGAUACUGUGGAGCUAGAGUACGGAAGAGGCGAGUGGAAUUCCUGGUGUAGCGGUGGAAUGCGCAGAUAUCAGGAGGAACACCAAUAGCGAAGGCAGCUCGCUGGGACGUUACUGACACUAAGGCGCGAAAGCGUGGGGAGCGAACAGG
rnacentral:rRNA from 1 species